rnacentral:rRNA from 1 species
AAUCAACGCUGGCGGCGUGCCUAACACAUGCAAGUCGCACGAGAAAGGGGAGCAAUCCCUGAGUAAAGUGGCGCACGGGUGGGUAACACGUGAAUCAUCUACCUCCGAGUGGGGAAUAACUGAGAGAAAUCUUAGCUAAUACCGCAUAACACUUACGAGUCAAAGCAGCAAUGCGCUUGGAGAGGAGUUCGCGGCCGAUUAGUUAGUUGGCGGGGUAAUGGCCCACCAAGACGAUGAUCGGUAUCCGGCCUGAGAGGGCGCACGGGCACACUGGAACUGAAACACGGUCCAGACUCCUACGGGAGGCAGCAGUGGGGAAUUUUGCGCAAUGGGGGAAACCCUGACGCAGCAACGCCGCGUGGAGGAUGAAGUAUC